rnacentral:rRNA from 1 species
CAGCCGCCACGGUAACACGUAGGGUGCGAGCGUUAAUCGGAAUUACUGGGCGUAAAGCGUGCGCAGGCGGUUUUGUAAGACAGGCGUGAAAUCCCCGGGCUCAACCUGGGAAUGGCGCUUGUGACUGCAAAGCUAGAGUGCGGCAGAGGGGGAUAGAAUUCCGCGUGUAGCAGUGAAAUGCGUAGAUAUGCGGAGGAACACCGAUGGCGAAGGCAAUCCCCUGGGCCUGCACUGACGCUCAUGCACGAAAGCGUGGGGAGCAAACAGGAUUAGAUACCCCCGUAGUCCCUGUCUCUUAUAA